rnacentral:rRNA from 1 species
CAGAGGUCUCAAGCGUUGUUCGGAUUCAUUGGGCGUAAAGGGUGCGUAGGCGGCGCGGUAAGUCGGGUGUCGAAAUCUCGGAGCUUAACUCCGAAACUGCAUUCGAUACUGCCGUGCUUGAGGACUGGAGAGGAGACUGGAAUUUACGGUGUAGCGGUGAAAUGCGUAGAUAUCGUAAGGAAGACCAGUGGCGAAGGCGGGUCUCUGGACAGUUCCUGACGCUGAGGCACGAAGGCCAGGGGAGCAAACGGGAUUAGAUACCCCGGUAGUCCUGGCAGUAAACGGUGCACGUUUGGUGUGGGAGGAUUCGACCCCCUUCUCGCGCCGGAGCUAACGCGUUAAACGUGCCGCCUGGGGAGUACGGUCGCAAGAUUA